rnacentral:lncRNA from 1 species
CUUUUUCUGUUUUUCCUUUCUCAAGUCUUGCCUUUCUUAAUCCAUUCUUCACACUACAGCCAAAGAAAUGGAGAAAGCAAGACUCUUAGAAAUAAUUUUUAUUUUUUACAGCAAAGAAUGCUUUCAAUUAGAUAACAGAUUAUUUUGUUGUAUUUUCCAGCUUCCCUACAGAAGAACAGUGAUUUCACAAGAAGUACAAAUGAUAUGAUCAUGGCCACAGACUUAGCAAUUUUUUUCCAACCAGGAAUCACAGACAAGGAUUUCACAGAAUCAACUGAACCAUUAUUUGUUCAACUUGCUAAAACCUGAGUCAACAGUUCUUUAAGAUCCCAAACUCUGGGAUUCUCAGUUUAGAAGUGCGGAGCAAGGAGUCUGUGAGACUCUGUGGGCUAGAAUACAUACGGACAGUCAUCUAUAUCUGUGCUAGCUCCAGGUGGAGAAGGCAUCAGGAGGGGAUCCCUCAAGCUCAGCAAGCUGAGACAGGAAACUCCUUCCAGCUCCCACAUAAACGUGAGUUUUCUGAGGAAAAUCCAGCGCAAAACCUUCCGAAGGUGGAUGCCUCAGGGGAAGACCGUCUUUGGGGUGGACAGAUGCCCACUGAAGAGCUUUGGAAGUCAAAGAAGCAUUCAGUGAUGUCAAGACAAGAUUUACAAACUUUGUGUUGCACUGAUGGCUGUUCCAUGACUGAUUUGAGUGCUCUUUGCUAAGACAAGAGCAAAUACCCAAUGGGUGGCAGAGCUUUAUCACAUGUUUAAUUACAGUGUUUUACUGCCUGGUAGAACACUAAUAUUGUGUUAUUAAAAUGAUGGCUUUUGGGUAGGCAAAACUUCUUUUCUAAAAGGUAUAGCUGAGCGGUUGAAACCACAGUGAUCUCUAUUUUCUCCCUUUGCCAAGGUUAAUGAACUGUUCUUUUCAAAUUCUACUAAUGCUUUGAAAUUUCAAAUGCUGCGCAAAAUUGCAAUAAAAAUGCUAUAAACCA